GGUCGUGUAGCACAGUGGUAAGGAGCAGGGCUCGUAACCCAAAGGUUGCUGGUUCAAUUCCACACUGGGGUA